UAACAUCACACCACCAAACACUUCUGACAUUAUCUUUACAGGGAAGAUUUUCUAAUGGCUGGUGUUGAGGCCUUAGCUGAUGACCUAGAUUUGGAUCCUUUUGAAGAAAGUUUCAAAUCCAUGGAUCUAGCUACGGAUGCAGUCCAAAUUGAUGAGGACCAAGCAAACAACUUACUCAACAGUGUGCUGGGAUCCUAAAGGGAAUUUCCAUCCUACUUGUGUGGCUGAAGGACAUCGUCAACCAAUUUUGGUACAUUUGCCAGAAAGCACAACAUCGUGAUAUGUUUAAUGUAAGUAUUGUGACAUCUUUUGGACAACAAGACAACAAUGCACAUUGACAUAAUUACCUUUCUUUUCAUAAUAGUGCCAGCUCUCGUGUUUCUGUUGGUGAUAAAGAGCUCAUGGUACCAUGAUCUCCACCACACAAGACUCUUCAACGAAUCAUGUUCAACAGACGCUAGUUGAAGGAAGUCACCAAGUAUCUGACCUUUAGGUAUAUUAAUAACAUUUUCAUAAGCAAAAAAGCUAAAUUGUCAAUAUCAAAGCUGACAAUUUACAUAUAGAAAUGACAAUUGUGGGUGAAAAGGCAAUCAAAAGUGUGAUUCCUAAUAAUCUAUAAAGUUGUAGCUUUUGUUUUUUUUACAGGUCAACUUCAGAACUGGAGAGUUUCCAGAAUUGCGUUCUCAUGUAAUCUAUGUAUGAUCUAAUGCUGCUGUUCUCCUCUCUCCAUAAAGGCCCCAGCUACGUGAAGCAUCAAAAGACAGGAAUGACUUCUUUCAUGCACACAGAUUUAUUAGAAAUUAAGAAAAAAUACUAUGUACAAAUGCAAAUAACAGAACUUUUUUGUACAUAAAUAAAAAUAAAUAUAUUGCACAAACUGUUUGUUUAUUUUUGGGUGAAAAUGCUGUCUUCAGCUAAAGUUAUUUUGAGGUAUUGUGCUGUUUUGGAACUACUGUAGUUGUAGAUAAACAGUUUGGAUUUUUGGGUUAGGGUGCCCUCAGUCAGGAAGACGGUGUCCUGGCGUCUCUUGCUGAAACUCCAGGAUAUCCAGCAUCACCCCUGGAAGACGGGUCACCACUCUCUCGAGAAUAUAAUCUCUCUCCUCCUGGCUCAGGUGUUGUAAAGCUGUCUAGAAAUUAAAGAGCAUAUGUUUACAUGACUAGAUUCAUGUCUCCAGUGAGUGAUGUUUU